CUUUACGGCCAUACCAGCCUGGGUACGCCCGAUCUCGUCUGAUCUCGGAAGCUAAGCAGGGUCGGGCCUGGUUAGUACUUGGAUGGGAGACCGCCUGGGAAUACCAGGUGCUGUAAGCA
rnacentral:rRNA from 1 species